AAAGCGUGUCACCAAGCUGCAUUUAUGGACUGACUCAACAACCAAGACGUUUCUAGAAGGCCGGAUUGUUGGUCUGUUCACAGGACGCUUGUAUUUUGUUCCCCCUGGAGAAAUGCCUUGUCGAUGGACCUGACCUGAAAAAUCACUGACAGAGGAAAGCAAAAAGAGUGAACGGUCUUCUAGGAUCAAGCAUGUUGCAGACACCUACAAGUGCCUGGCCCGCAUAUCCGCAGUACCAAGCAUGUUUGUUCUCCAGAUGUAUUUGCUCACCACCAACUACUGACUUUAGGUCAGUCCCGACUGCUGCCAGAGUCACUCUGAAUUAAUGCUUUAUGUCCAGCCUGCUAUCUACUCUCCCAUGUAACUGCCUACAAGCGAUCUGAGUCCCUCUAACCAGAAUGAUACUGGAUAAUGUGGAUAUCAGUAUGUGUGUAAAGCAGAACAGCUCCUACCAGAGAAAACAAGAAUGGCCCAAGACUCCCGUUGAAUUCACAGAGCACUGCUUCCUUUGUCCUCAAACCCAUGAGAUCAUCUUUGGCAGUGACUCUGUAUCAGUGGUGCACUGAUGUCAGCAGAAGAAAGAUUAAUAAGCCAUGCUUUAAGUUAACCUUCAAGUGAGUUCUGGGGUUUCCAGAAGUCUGCAGAAUGCUGCCAUAGAAAGACCAACUGAUAAGGCAUACUGGACCCUAGCACACAGGAGCCAUCUUUCUGACAAUGGAAUACAUACAGUUAUCUUCAUUACAGAGGAAAUGUGAUCAAAAAAAAUUGUCCAUCACGCUCAAACAUCUUUUCACCUGAGAAGCACAGAGG